ACAUGCAAGUGGUAGGAAGUCCGAAAGGUGACGACCCUUCGGGAGCUUGCACAGGUGCUGCACGGGCUGUCGUCAGCUCGUGUCGUGAGAUGUUCGGUUAAGUCCGCUAACGAGCGCAACCCUCGUCGUGUGUUAUACGUGUCACACGAUACUGCCGGUAUCAAGCCGGAGGAAGGUGGGGAUGAUGUCAAGUCAGCAUGGCCUUUAUAUCCUGGGCUACACACACGCUACAAUGGCAGAUACAAUAGGUUGCGAAACCGCGAGGUGGAGCCAAUCCUCAAAGUCUGUCUCAGUUCAGAUUGUAGGCUGCAACUCGCCUGCAUGAAGUUGGAGUUGCUAGUAAACGCAGGUCAGCUAUACUGCGUUGAAUACGUUCCCGGGGCUU
rnacentral:rRNA from 1 species